AAAUCCUAUGUGUCUGCUCCCAGAGCUGCCACAACCCAUCUUCCCACAACUCGGAACUUGGAAAAAGGAACCCAGGACACGACUUUGCUUUUCUUUUGGACCUAGUUGGUGAUUAUACCCGGUCUCCCAUGGAGACCAUGUCUUGCAUCCUUCCUUCUGUAUGGGAUUUAGGAUAGAAAUUAAAAAGAAAACAUCUUAUUUUGAGUCUUGAUUUGGAGAAAGGUAGUAUUUAGGGAGAAGUAGGCUAUGAUACACAUAGAAAAUUUGAGGACAGUGUUACUUAACAAGGACAUUUCUGUCUCUGCAGAAGUCACAGCUUGGAGGAAACCAGUUUGCACUAUUUGAUGAGGAAUUUGGCCACCAAACCACUGAUACUUUCCCAAAGAUACAAGUUAACAGGAUAUGCUUCUGGCGUGUUUCUGGAUUCUAAGGGUAGAACCAGCAUGAAACUAGUCAGUCCAAGUAUUUCUAAAGAUCCACAGACACAGUUCUCCUAGAUUUGGGAAGCCUAGAGAUAUUAGCACAAUAAUUAUGGCCCAAGGUAAAAGCAACAGCAACCUGAAAAUGCAAAAGACCAUACAUUUUAAUGCAACUUUUAAAAGCAUUUCCAUUGCACAGUGAAAGAAAACCACAAACUCCUUGUUUAAUAACUCGGAUCAUGUGCUUUUAACGAGAGGAAAAGGUCAAGUCUGAAGCAACUGAUAUGGAACUGCCAGAGUAGGAGUUGAAAAUAUUCCUAAACUGCUGGAGGAUACACCUCUGAUAGCUUGAGACAAAUAUCCUCUUGAUUAUUGUUUCACCAUAUUUGUCUUUGCUCACAGAGAACCAUUUUGACCUGUGGUUUAGCCUCCCAGGUGAUUGAACAAUAGCGGUGAUCUGAGGCAGACCCUCUGUGACGGAUAACAG
rnacentral:lncRNA from 1 species